UGCAAAGGAAGCCAGACUCCUGCCUGC
rnacentral:piRNA from 1 species